CGGUGAUGUAUAGCGGCUUCUCCACAUGGGAGAAGUGCGGUGAACACCGGGUAAACAAAAUCUCGUGUGUUUUUAUUUCUUUCUUGCUUGAUUCUUGAUUGAUUAGAUUCGUUUAGGCUUGAGAUGAUUAUUGAGUUAAGCCAAGAUUACAGGAUGAAUCCUCAGCAGCUGAGUUAGAUUAGUCGAUUGAUAAAGAAAUAUAACUAAAUUGACCUAAUUAUAUUCUCUUGCCGUAUGUUGAAGCCUCUCAUAGUCUAAGGUAGUUAGGUGACUGGGUCUCGCUCACACUUCUACAUGCAAUUAUACAUAUGUUUUCCGUAUUUAAAAUAGUGAACAGCAAUCAUUCAACCUGUUCGGUUAGGCUGGGCACAGAGAAAAUACGACCUGAAUUUUUGGUAUCUGUGAUUUGUUUCGUACGUGACGGAUAUCUAAUUUUUCUAUUUGUUUUGGUUCAAAAAAAUACAGAUAUCCAGAAAACCAGAUAUCCGAAAAAUAUAUAGAUAUUUGCAGAUAUUUACGAAUUACAUUUACAGAUAUCAAAUCUGUUUUACUUAAUACAAAUAAUCUAGAAAAAUUGAUCUAAAUUUAUUCUUUAAAAUAUUUCUUACACAUAAUAUAUAAAAUAAAUAUUAAAAGAAGUAGUGAAAGUACAUGUUUUGUAAAUUUCAAUCUUAGAGUUAUCAAUAAUAGUAAGACAAAACUCAAGAAAAAGUUAUAAUUGUUAUAAAAGGUUUUGUUGAUUUAAUACUUUUAUAAAUAAUAAUGUGAAUAUAAUUUAUUAAAUUAUAUGCUAGAAUAAUAAUUAUAUAGACUUAUACAUUUAAAACUCUAAAUUUAAUCAAAAUAUACAUGUAUUUAUAUAUCGGAGCGGAUAUCCACUUUUCAAAAUUUUAGUAUUUGUGAUUUGUUUCAAUUUUAAGGAAUAUUGAUUUUUAGCAUUUUUUUUGUUUCAAAAUUUUACGGAUAUCCAAAUUUUUUUGGAACAAAUCAAAACGAAUAACGAAUCGAAUCAAAAUUAAAGAAUAAAAUGCUCAGCCUUCCUGUUCGGUACACUAUUGACUCGGUGGACUUUUGCUUUUCGGUUGGUUUCCAUUUUUUCAUGCCAACUUUGAUUUAAAACAGUUUUAAACAGAAUGAUAUUUUGAAUUGCUUUUAUCUUCCAAUGAAUUUGCUUUGUUUUUUAUGUAAUUCCUUACACUAACCUCUAUACAGUAUUCUUUAUAACACGGUUAUACUAUAAAUCUUGAAUGAUAUAAUAUAUCAACAAGUAUAUUUACAAUAUCACAAUAAUAAAUGGGGGAUUUCCUCGAAAUCUAAGCAUUUCAUGUCAUCAAAAAUAUUCAACCAAUCAGAACAUUUCAUUUUCGGGUAUGGGCUUAAAAUUUGUUUAGAAUUGACUUAGGUGUAUGGGCUUAAAAUCUGAGAGAAACUUCAAAGAAUGAUUGUGAGGAAAUGUUAGUGUGUAUGGGACAGCAGGACUAAAGCACAGCAGGCAGCAGUCACUCAAGGAUGUAGGUUUCAGAGGCAUGAGAAGAAGUUGUAUGCCAAGAUAUAAAGGCAAGAAGCAUGGCGUUACUGAUAGUAAAAUCAAUGGAGUAAAAUCAGUUUGAGAGAAUCUGGUUUCGGGUUUAUCUGCUACAGGUUCUGAUGGGUUAAAGUAAGAAGGGUCUCACAGGGUUUGAAGUGUUCUGUGAAGAUGUUUUGUUGGCACAGACUAUAACAGGUUGGAGCACGGUCAGUUUGGUGGUAGUGAAAUCAGAUUGGGGAGCUCGGAAGAAGCUGCGACACUUGGUGGUUAUGAUAUUAGCGACUAUGGUUGAAUGGCUGCAAAUUAAUAUAAUUUUGAUAAGGUCUGAAACAAAAUUCAGAAGCAAGAAGCCAUGUUUACAGUCAGCUACACAAAGGGGUUAAGUGAAUCAAAGAAGAAAGUGCAUGAUGGUUAUAAGUCUGAGAAGUGAAUCUUCGUGUGAAGAGGAACACGUUGGGGUUUUGAAAGGUUAUUGUUUCAGAUGGAGUCUUGCCUCUACAAGUGUUGUAGUGCACAUCGCUAGAUGUUUUGACUUCAGGUGGAGCAAUGUUAUCUUUCCAGUCAUAUAUCUCAGGUCUACUUCAGUGUGAAAAGAUUUCAGAGGUCCUGUGGAUGAGCUUUCAAGAGCAACAGAGAUUCAGUUUGGUUUUGUGCAGCAAGUAGAGUAAAAGAGAGCCAAGUCAGUGUCAGCAGGUUCAAAGCUCAACAAGGUAUAAGCAAAUAGAGUAAAGGGGUUCAGCUUGUGGUCACAGAUGUGAAGAGGAUGUCGGCAGUGUUAGUAUGGGUUCUCCAUAGGAAGCAUGUAGUAAAACGACAUCAAGGCAGAGUCACUACAGGUAUGAUAAAUCAAUAUAUAAAAUACUUGUAAGGUGUGUUUUUUGGAGGUAUUCACAGGGACCAGGAAGAACAGUUCAAGGUGGAGCUGUUUGAGUCAAUAGCCAAGCUGAACAAGCUCAAGGAGUUCUCUAAGAGUAGUUACACAGAGACAGCAAGUGUUGUUGGUAUUGCCAGAAGAGAAUACAAGAAGGGUUGAGCUACUGGAAAAAAAAUGGAGUUUUCAGUAAAGUCUGGAACAAGCAGGGGCGUUUGUAUACCAAGGUCUAGUAAGGUUCACAGGUUAGCGAAGCACAGGUUCUUUGCUACAGCAAAGGUGUCUCAAGAGUUGUCACAGGUUUUGUGAGUAUGAGGCAGGGAAAAAGAAGUCAACAGGUGGUCAGAUUUGUGGUCUGAAGUUCUGUUGAGGCAGAUUUGUUUGAACAUGGUUUGAGCAGAGAGUUUCUACAUCGAAAAUCUUCUUAACCGGGUUGAGUUAAGCGGCGUGUUCUGCUGGUCAAAGCAGCGGCGCAGAGUGAUGUUCAGGUUUAAAGUUCAUACAGAUUGGUGUAGAGGAAAACUUCAGGAUAAGCAGUGAGUUUCUACUAGCUGUUGAGGUUGUCUACAAGGUUUCUUGAGUCAAAGUGCUUCUGGUGUGAGGCAGUGAUGAUUCAGUUUCUACAAGAGUUUCAAGAAAGCAUCGUUUUAGGUUUUGGCAGAUUAUUUGAAGACCUUAGCUGCAGUAACAAGUGAAGUAUCAUAAGCUGAUCUAUACUAGUCAAAAGAGAAGCUUAUGGAGUGUAUGUUAAGUUGCUGGUGAGUGGUUAUCUCAAGUUUCCAGGUUAUGGAAAGUGCCAAAGGAAGAUCAAUGAAGAAGUUUGGCAUGACAAAAAGGUUGUGAAGUGCUGAGAAAGGCACUUAAGAAGACGUGUGUGUGUUAGUGGCGCAUGAAUGGUAUUGUGAUUCACAUCACAACAAAGUAACGUGUGUGGUUCAUUGAUGCUGAUAAAAGUGAUUGAAGACUGGGAGUUGUCAAGGCUAGAGCUGGGUUUACAAGGUUCUAAGGAGCAGCGGCAAGAGAGUCUUCAGGUAUAUCGAGAUAGAUACUGGAUAAGAUGCUGGAAGGAAACAAGUUUCAGGAAGCGUUGAAGCUGAGUGGUGAAGCUCGAAGUGAGAUAAAGCUGGAUGAAGUUUUAUUCAUAGGAGUAUGAAGCUGAGAAGGUGAUUUCUCAGGAUAUUGCAAGAAGAUGCAGAGGUUGCAGGAAGGUGCAAGGAGUUGCAGAAGUUGAGCAGGUUUGCUUAAUCACCGGAGAAAAGCUCAAGAGAAGAUAAGACAUCAAGAAGAUCGAUGCCAAGGUGGAGAUUGUAGAAUUGUGCCAUCAAUCUUCUAAGUCUCUAAGUCAAAGAAAGGUUUUGCCGAAGCUGAUAACGUACACGUGAGGAGCACGUGAGUUGGGGCAAAAAGGAAUCAUUAUCUUCUGUGUAUCUCAUCGUCAUCUUCUUCCUUAACGGAGAGUCCGUAACAGAAUCAGAAGAGAGCGAGAGAGCUCGAGAUGAGAUGAGAGAGUGAGAGCGAUUGGGUUGGUGAGAGUGAGCUAGAGAGAGAUGUGAUUCUCGGUUUAUCUAAGCUCAGAGCUUAAUCUUCUUCCUCAAUCUUGUAACUCGGAUUAGGUGUAAUCGAGAGAGGAAGAAGACGAGUGAACCUCCGGUGAUGUACUCUGUACUCACAUUGAUUAUAGUGUAUUGGCUGAGAGACCGUUUCUCUCCCCGGUGAUGUAUAGCGGCUUCUCCACAUGGGAGAAGUGCGGUGAACACCGGGUAAACAAAAUCUCGUGUGUUUUUAUUUCUUUCUUGCUUGAUUCUUGAUUGAUUAGAUUCGUUUAGGCUUGAGAUGAUUAUUGAGUUAAGCCAAGAUUACAGGAUGAAUCCUCAACAAGUGGUAUCAGAGCCUCAGUUUAGGCGAUUCAAGGAUUCAUCGGAAACAGAUCAAGAUCGGUUCUGAAGGAGAAUCGAAGAAGGAUCGGAGGAGUUGAAGUUUCGAUUGCAUCGUUGUUGUGAGAGUGAAGAAUCAGUAGAUGUUGCAAGAUAUGCAAUGUCAAAUGCAAAGAAAGAAGAUGAAGACGUUGGCUCGUGGUAGACGACGACGUCGGAGACGUAGCAAAGGAAUCUCACGAAGGAACAUGCAAUUGGUUCAGAUAAUUUCUGGUUUGUGAAAUCAAGUGCAUCACUAAGUUAUUCUCUCUCAUCUCAUGAGUUAUAAGAUCGUGUGAGCUGCUAGGAUAAAGAAACUUGCAUGAGAGUUUGAUAUGUUCACAAGAGUAAAAAGAUCCAUCCACUGAGGUAUGAAGUAUCAGAUAUACGAAGCUAUUCUGCAGUUCUGGAACUGGUUUGAUGCUGGCUGUUUGAGGUGGAGGAUCUCAGGUUAAAAUUGGUUCAUGUUAAGUCAAUAUCAGACUUAAGGCUACAGAAUCAAAGUCAGUUCAUAGUUCCCUCAGGUUCAAGUCAUGGAGACAAAUGGUCUCAUUCUGCUACAGUCACAAAGCCUUGUUGUGAUGGCUGGAUACUCAUCUACUGCAGUGUAUAAAGAAUGGAAGCUCUCUGAAUCACAAGGGAUUUAUGUUAUCUUUGCAAAGAAUGAUCAAGACUCGGGUUUGGUGUCAAAUUGUGUGUUGAUCAGCUUGUUUGUGGAAGGAAGAUGCAGCUGUGGUUUCAGGAUAUUUGGAAGAAUGGCAAUUGGUGGCACUUAUGAAUUUCAGGUUUAAGGGACGCUUUAGAAGUGAGUUUGUAUGUGUGUCAAAGGCUGUUCAGGUACUGUUAAAGUUUUCAGGAUUCAAGUUUGAAGGUAAGCUGCAGGGAAUGGUUCAUGAUGAGUUUCUGGAGGUUAUGAAACAAGACAUGUUUGGUAUUUUGAGGAGCUGGUUCAAGUUUUCAGAAAGUUUGAGUUGCAGGUUCAGUCACAGAGAUUAAGGGUCAGGUUCUGGUGAAUGAAAGAAGCUCAGUGGUAAUGAUCAAGAUCAAGAAAAGGAUCACAAUGGAGCUUGUAGCAGCAAGGAUUGUUUCUACACAAAUGAAACAAGGCUGUUACGUUUGAGAAAUUCUUCAAAGCUAGUAAAGUGAUAAAACAGAUGGGAUUAUGUGGUAUAUCACCUGACGUUUUUUAUUAGAAGAAUGCGUGGAGUCAUCAAGAAAGAAGCAGAAGCAGGAACAUGUUAUGUUUGCAGGAACAUGUUAUGUUUCCAGAAGGAUGCGUCAAGAGAAAAGACAAGAGUUCUAGGAGCAAUGUGAGUAUAUGCUGGAAUAGAGUUUCUUGUGGGAUCAAAGUUGAUAGCUUUGGAGAAGUAUGAGUGGAAGAGGCAGCUCGUGGUAUAGGUUUAACUGUCUCGCUCAAGGCGUUUCUGCAGAGGUUUAAAAGCGAUGAUUUCUUAAAGAGAAAGAAGGCUGAUAAAAUAUCAGUGAUAAGGAGCCAAGGAGAAGAAACAAGUUUCUGGUUUUAUGGCUCAAGGAAAGGAAAGCAAGGAGUUUGUUUUGCUGGUUGCAGUUCUUUUGAACAUGGAGUCUACAAGUUCAAGUCUGUGUAGGAUGUCUCAGGUCAUUGGCAUUUUUGUUCUGUAUUUUUUUUAAGACACAUGAGAAGUUUCAGGAGAUGGAGAAAUCUGAGAGAAACUUCAAAGAAUGAUUGUGAGGAAAUGUUAGUGUGUAUGGGACAGCAGGACUAAAGCACAGCAGGCAGCAGUCACUCAAGGAUGUAGGUUUCAGAGGCAUGAGAAGAAGUUGUAUGCCAAGAUAUAAAGGCAAGAAGCAUGGCGUUACUGAUAGUAAAAUCAAUGGAGUAAAAUCAGUUUGAGAGAAUCUGGUUUCGGGUUUAUCUGCUACAGGUUCUGAUGGGUUAAAGUAAGAAGGGUCUCACAGGGUUUGAAGUGUUCUGUGAAGAUGUUUUGUUGGCACAGACUAUAACAGGUUGGAGCACGGUCAGUUUGGUGGUAGUGAAAUCAGAUUGGGGAGCUCGGAAGAAGCUGCGACACUUGGUGGUUAUGAUAUUAGCGACUAUGGUUGAAUGGCUGCAAAUUAAUAUAAUUUUGAUAAGGUCUGAAACAAAAUUCAGAAGCAAGAAGCCAUGUUUACAGUCAGCUACACAAAGGGGUUAAGUGAAUCAAAGAAGAAAGUGCAUGAUGGUUAUAAGUCUGAGAAGUGAAUCUUCGUGUGAAGAGGAACACGUUGGGGUUUUGAAAGGUUAUUGUUUCAGAUGGAGUCUUGCCUCUACAAGUGUUGUAGUGCACAUCGCUAGAUGUUUUUUGACUUCAGGUGGAGCAAUGUUAUCUUUCCAGUCAUAUAUCUCAGGUCUACUUCAGUGUGAAAAGAUUUCAGAGGUCCUGUGGAUGAGCUUUCAAGAGCAACAGAGAUUCAGUUUGGUUUUGUGCAGCAAGUAGAGUAAAAGAGAGCCAAGUCAGUGUCAGCAGGUUCAAAGCUCAACAAGGUAUAAGCAAAUAGAGUAAAGGGGUUCAGCUUGUGGUCACAGAUGUGAAGAGGAUGUCGGCAGUGUUAGUAUGGGUUCUCCAUAGGAAGCAUGUAGUAAAACGACAUCAAGGCAGAGUCACUACAGGUAUGAUAAAUCAAUAUAUAAAAUACUUGUAAGGUGUGUUUUUUGGAGGUAUUCACAGGGACCAGGAAGAACAGUUCAAGGUGGAGCUGUUUGAGUCAAUAGCCAAGCUGAACAAGCUCAAGGAGUUCUCUAAGAGUAGUUACACAGAGACAGCAAGUGUUGUUGGUAUUGCCAGAAGAGAAUACAAGAAGGGUUGAGCUACUGGAAAAAAAAUGGAGUUUUCAGUAAAGUCUGGAACAAGCAGGGGCGUUUGUAUACCAAGGUCUAGUAAGGUUCACAGGUUAGCGAAGCACAGGUUCUUUGCUACAGCAAAGGUGUCUCAAGAGUUGUCACAGGUUUUGUGAGUAUGAGGCAGGGAAAAAGAAGUCAACAGGUGGUCAGAUUUGUGGUCUGAAGUUCUGUUGAGGCAGAUUUGUUUGAACAUGGUUUGAGCAGAGAGUUUCUACAUCGAAAAUCUUCUUAACCGGGUUGAGUUAAGCGGCGUGUUCUGCUGGUCAAAGCAGCGGCGCAGAGUGAUGUUCAGGUUUAAAGUUCAUACAGAUUGGUGUAGAGGAAAACUUCAGGAUAAGCAGUGAGUUUCUACUAGCUGUUGAGGUUGUCUACAAGGUUUCUUGAGUCAAAGUGCUUCUGGUGUGAGGCAGUGAUGAUUCAGUUUCUACAAGAGUUUCAAGAAAGCAUCGUUUUAGGUUUUGGCAGAUUAUUUGAAGACCUUAGCUGCAGUAACAAGUGAAGUAUCAUAAGCUGAUCUAUACUAGUCAAAAGAGAAGCUUAUGGAGUGUAUGUUAAGUUGCUGGUGAGUGGUUAUCUCAAGUUUCCAGGUUAUGGAAAGUGCCAAAGGAAGAUCAAUGAAGAAGUUUGGCAUGACAAAAAGGUUGUGAAGUGCUGAGAAAGGCACUUAAGAAGACGUGUGUGUGUUAGUGGCGCAUGAAUGGUAUUGUGAUUCACAUCACAACAAAGUAACGUGUGUGGUUCAUUGAUGCUGAUAAAAGUGAUUGAAGACUGGGAGUUGUCAAGGCUAGAGCUGGGUUUACAAGGUUCUAAGGAGCAGCGGCAAGAGAGUCUUCAGGUAUAUCGAGAUAGAUACUGGAUAAGAUGCUGGAAGGAAACAAGUUUCAGGAAGCGUUGAAGCUGAGUGGUGAAGCUCGAAGUGAGAUAAAGCUGGAUGAAGUUUUAUUCAUAGGAGUAUGAAGCUGAGAAGGUGAUUUCUCAGGAUAUUGCAAGAAGAUGCAGAGGUUGCAGGAAGGUGCAAGGAGUUGCAGAAGUUGAGCAGGUUUGCUUAAUCACCGGAGAAAAGCUCAAGAGAAGAUAAGACAUCAAGAAGAUCGAUGCCAAGGUGGAGAUUGUAGAAUUGUGCCAUCAAUCUUCUAAGUCUCUAAGUCAAAGAAAGGUUUUGCCGAAGCUGAUAACGUACACGUGAGGAGCACGUGAGUUGGGGCAAAAAAGAAUCAUUAUCUUCUGUGUAUCUCAUUGUCAUCUUCUUCCUUAACGGGGAGUCCGUAACAGAAUCAGAAGAGAGCGAGAGAGCUCAAGAUGAGAUGAGAGAGUGAGAGCGAUUGGGUUGGUGAGAGUGAGCUAGAGAGAGAUGUGAUUCUCGGUUUAUCUAAGCUCAGAGCUUAAUCUUCUUCCUCAAUCUUGUAACUCGGAUUAGGUGUAAUCGAGAGAGGAAGAAGACGAGUGAACCUCCGGUGAUGUACUCUGUACUCACAUUGAUUAUAGUGUAUUGGCUGAGAGACCGUUUCUCUCCCCGGUGAUGUAUAGCGGCUUCUCCACAUGGGAGAAGUGCGGUGAACACCGGGUAAACAAAAUCUCGUGUGUUUUUAUUUCUUUCUUGCUUGAUUCUUGAUUGAUUAGAUUCGUUUAGGCUUGAGAUGAUUAUUGAGUUAAGCCAAGAUUACAGGAUGAAUCCUCAGCAGCUGAGUUAGAUUAGUCGAUUGAUAAAGAAAUAUAACUAAAUUGACCUAAUUAUAUUCUCUUGCCGUAUGUUGAAGCCUCUCAUAGUCUAAGGUAGUUAGGUGACUGGGUCUCGCUCACACUUCUACAUGCAAUUAUACAUAUGUUUUCCGUAUUUAAAAUAGUGAACAGCAAUCAUUCAACCUGUUCGGUUAGGCUGGGCACAGAGAAAAUACGACCUGAAUUUUUGGUAUCUGUGAUUUGUUUCGUACGUGACGGAUAUCUAAUUUUUCUAUUUGUUUUGGUUCAAAAAAAUACAGAUAUCCAGAAAACCAGAUAUCCGAAAAAUAUAUAGAUAUUUGCAGAUAUUUACAAAUUACAUUUACAGAUAUCAAAUCUGUUUUACUUAAUACAAAUAAUCUAGAAAAAUUGAUCUAAAUUUAUUCUUUAAAAUAUUUCUUAUACAUAAUAUAUAAAAUAAAUAUUAAAAGAAGUAGUGAAAGUACAUGUUUUGUAAAUUUCAAUCUUAGAGUUAUCAAUAAUAGUAAGACAAAACUCAAGAAAAAGUUAUAAUUGUUAUAAAAGGUUUUGUUGAUUUAAUACUUUUAUAAAUAAUAAUGUGAAUAUAAUUUAUUAAAUUAUAUGCUAGAAUAAUAAUUAUAUAGACUUAUACAUUUAAAACUCUAAAUUUAAUCAAAAUAUACAUGUAUUUAUAUAUCGGAGCGGAUAUCCACUUUUCAAAAUUUUAGUAUUUGUGAUUUGUUUCAAUUUUAAGGAAUAUUUAUUUUUAGCAUUUUUUUGUUUCAAAAUUUUACGGAUAUCCAAAUUUUUUUGGAACAAAUCAAAACGAAUAACGAAUCGAAUCAAAAUUAAAGAAUAAAAUGCUCAGCCUUCCUGUUCGGUACACUAUUGACUCGGUGGACUUUUGCUUUUGGGUUGGUUUCCAUUUUUUCAUGCCAACUUUGAUUUAAAACAGUUUUAAACAGAAUGAUAUUUUGAAUUGCUUUUAUCUUCCAAUGAAUUUGCUUUGUUUUUUAUGUAAUUCCUUACACUAACCUCUAUACAGUAUUCUUUAUAACACGGUUAUACUAUAAAUCUUGAAUGAUAUAAUAUAUCAACAAGUAUAUUUACAAUAUCACAAUAAUAAAUGGGGGAUUUCCUCGAAAUCUAAGCAUUUCAUGUCAUCAAAAAUAUUCAACCAAUCAGAACAUUUCAUUUUCGGGUAUGGGCUUAAAAUUUGUUUAGAAUUGACUUAGGUGUGUGGGCUUCGUUUGGUUUAGGUUUGAGAUUUUUUUCAUCUGCCAAUUAAGAUUCUGCUGAUCAACAAGAAGAAAGUUUUAGACGUUCUCUCUUCCUAAAACGUCUGCCGAUCAAGAUUCUUUAGGACUUAAUGGUAUUGUCUCCUGAAGCUUUAAAUCAGCUUAUCAUAGUCUCUUAAACCAUGAGUGUUUCUUUCUUCCUCGAGUCUGCAGUCUCCUGCUACGACGCCGCUUUGCAUUCUCCGGUCAGAUUAUGAAUACGACGGAUCCACAUUUAAUCACUAACGCCACUCAAAAGUUAGUUUUUUUUGCAGAUUCAACACAAUCGGCAAUACCAAAGCUUCAGAAAAGGAAAUUAAAGGGAAACGAUCUCAAAUAGGGACAAAGGCAAGAACCAAUAACAAUCUUUUUUUCUUUAGAAACAAUUUUUUUUUUGAAACACCAGAACCAAUAACGAAAAACUGGACUACCUUAUAAUAAUAUAUUCUCAAUUAAAUUGAAGCUCAUGUCACUCAUAUGUACUGUUUGACUAUUACUUGCAGUUGGUCGAAACGUUAAUCCAUGGGUUUAAGGUUUGAUCCAGUCGUAUCAGUGUUGGAUUAGUGUGUUACACAAGAAGAUACAAUAAAGCUAAUAUAGAGUCGUAUCAGUGUAUAGCUUCUGAUACGUAUCUCCUGCUCUCUAAUUUCUCCGAACACGUUGAAUAGGUUGAUUAGGAAAGGGAUCCCGCCGGUAUUAAGGUAAAAGGUUUGCCUUUUAUUUCUGAUGCUGCCAAGAAAAAUCCACCGCCCUAGAGAAUUAUUACAGUGAUUUGAGCAGGCCGAGAAGGAAAGACCACAUUGACAACACAGCAGAUUGAUCGUUCUCAAAAGCAUUGAGAAAACAAGAUGCUAUCGAUGCUGUUAUGGUUGGAAAUUUAGAAUACUUGCUGACAAAGAGAUAAUGGUUGGUAUCAGAGAGAUUCACUUCUUCCCUGCUCCAGAGCAGUGGUCCAUGUGAAUUCGUUGGUGUGUUGCCUUGGUUUGAUCCUCCAAGACAUGAUACUGGGAUCAACUUGCUAUUGCCAAAUAGACUCGACAUAGGCUUGGUAUGGGAUCAAACAUGUAUCCAUCAACAUCAGCUUCUCUACUUAGUAAUCACAAAGACGAAAGCCUAGCUGAUGUUCCGUUGAACAGUUGAUUGAGAAUGCUGAUGCCUUUGCUGCUGUCUUCCCAGGUUGGUUAAGAAGAGUUUUUUUUGUUCAUGAACAUGAUCUCUCUCUCUCUCUCUCUCUACAGCGAUAUUUUGGUUUAUGUUUCAGCCAGAGCAAAAGUACGAGAUUGUGAAGAAGUUGCAAGAAUUGAAGCAUGUAUGUAGGAUGACUGGUGAUGGAUGCUCUCCUGCUUUGAAGAGAGCCAAUAGUGGUAUCAAUGUUGCUGCUGCUACAUAUGCUGCACGAGGCGCUUCUGAUAUUGUUCUCAUGAAGCCUUGACUCAGUGUUAUCAUCAGCGCAUUGUAACCACUCAAGCUAUUUUCCAAAGAAUAAUGAGCUAUACAGUCAGUGCUCUCUUUUAAGCUAUAGUUUUCCACUGUAUCUCUUCUCCAAUCUCACUUUGUUUUCCCAUGUUGUUUUCUAACAGAUUUAUGCAGUCUCAAUCACCAUUCGUACAGUGGAAAGUAAACAACCUUGCAUGUAUUUUUAAACAUCUUCAACUCUUCCUGUUUACGUUCUCUUUGUACCUCUUUUAUGGUUUGGGUUCAUGCUCAUUGCUUUAAAAUGGACAGUGAGUUUCUCUCUUUUAAAACUUCUUCCAAGUGCUUUAAAUGUUAACUGCUCGACAUGUACAAUCAUGACUAUAUCAAAGGAAAAAGUCAUGCCUUCUCCUACACCAGAUAGCUGGAAAAUCAAAUAAAUAUUUGCAACUGGCAUUGUCUUUGGAGGCUAUUGGCUUUAGUGGCCAUCUUUUUCUUUUGUGUUGCUUACGGAACCAACUUCUUCCCGGUAUCUAAAAUAUACACAAUCUUUCUCUCUCUUUUUCUUCAAUCAACUUCUCCAUCACACAUGCAUAACUAGCUCUCUUUGUUCUUUUCUUUAGAGAACGUUCCAUGUGAGAGACUUGAGAGGCAAUGAACAUGAAAUGAUGUUUGCUUUGUAUUUACUAGUCAGUAUUGUGAGCCAAACCCUUAUAUUCAUCACUUGAUAAAGAGAUAAGUAUUUUGUAGAACGACCUGGUUUACGCUUACUUAUUGCCUUCUAAUAACAAAAGCAGUAAAGCAUAAAACAUUGUUUCAUUUCUACUUGCUUUUAUUUACCGAUAUGAUGUGUGAAAAUAUUUUUCUGCAUUUCUUUAGAGGAGUAUUCUCAAUUCAUAUUUACGAUAUGCAUAUGAGUAGUCAUCUCUGUGUCUCUUGUUGUACCGUCGCAAGAACUUGCGAGUCGGAGUUCAAUAAUUUUUUUUUUGGCGACAGUCGGAGUUCAAUACAAUUCAGCUUAUUUGUGAAUAUUUUUUGUUAAAUUCUCUGAGUAUUAUACAUCUAACUACGGGUCAUUUAUAAUGUUGUCCAGAAUUUGAGUGUCAUUUAUUAAGUGCCAACUUUUGAAAGUAUUUUACAUUGCUAUGGUUACUGUUUUUGCUUUCUUGGUUACAAAUAUGUUCUAUACUAAUUCAACUUUAUAUUGUACGCUGAAUUUUUUCUUGAAACAUGUAAUAAUAAUUAACUUAAGAUACGCUUAGACUUAUACCAAUGAACCCAUCUUAAAUUUUAUAAGAAGCAUUAUGCUUACGACGAACCUUAGAGCAACUCCGAUGGUGGGUUUUUACCAUGCAGUUGUUAAGUUAUAUAUUGGUGUAUGUAUAUAAAAGUAUACUAAAAUUCUUGGAAAAAAAACCAAUAAUAUCUUAUUUAACAUAUUAUUGAUUGGAUUUCCAAGAAUUUUAGUAUAGAAUUAAUUAAAUAAUAAUAAUUAUAU